rnacentral:rRNA from 1 species
AACGAACGCUGGCGGCAGGCUUAACACAUGCAAGUCGAACGCCCCGCAGGGGGAGUGGCAGACGGGUGAGUAACGCGUGGGAAUCUACCCAGAUCUUCGGAACAACACAGGGAAACUUGUGCUAAUACCGGAUACGCCCUACGGGGGAAAGAUUUAUCGGAUUUGGAUGAGCCCGCGUUGGAUUAGCUAGUUGGUGAGGUAAUGGCUCACCAAGGCGACGAUCCAUAGCUGGUCUGAGAGGAUGAUCAGCCACACUGGGACUGAGACACGGCCCAGACUCCUACGGGAGGCAGCAGUGGGGAAUAUUGGACAAUGGGCGAAAGCCUGAUCCAGCCAUGCCGCGUGAGUGAUGAAGGCCUUAGGGUUGUAAAGCUCUUUUAGUGGGGAAGGUAAUGACGGUACCCACAGAAAAAGCCCCGGCUAACUUCGUGCCAGCAGCCGCCGUAA